GAUGAACGCUGGCGGCGUGCCUAAUACAUGCAAGUCGAGCGAACAGACGAGGAGCUUGCUCCUCUGACGUUAGCGGCGGACGGGUGAGUAACACGUGGAUAACCUACCUAUAAGACUGGGAUAACUUCGGGAAACCGGAGCUAAUACCGGAUAAUAUAUUGAACCGCAUGGUUCAAUAGUGAAAGACGGUUUUGCUGUCACUUAUAGAUGGAUCCGCGCCGCAUUAGCUAGUUGGUAAGGUAACGGGUUACCAAGGCAACGAUGCGUAGCCGACCUGAGAGGGUGAUCGGCCACACUGGAACUGAGACACGGUCCAGACUCCUACGGGAGGCAGCAGUAGGGAAUCUUCCGCAAUGGGCGAAAGCUUGACGGAGCAACGCCGCGUGAGUGAUGAAGGUCUUCGGAUCGUAAAACUCUGUUAUUAGGGAAGAACAAAUGUGUAAGUAACUAUGCACGUCUUGACGGUACCUAAUCAGAAAGCCACGGCUAACUACGUG
rnacentral:rRNA from 1 species